AUCGCUUCUCGGCCUUUUGGCUAAGAUCAAGUGAAGAAUCUAAUUUACUCUUUAAUUUUCUAUAUUCAUUUGAGAUGGAUUUUUCUAAUUCAAU
ensembl:snRNA LOC120096851 U2 spliceosomal RNA